CGGGACGGUGAACGGAGGAGGGUUGGCGGAGAAGCCUCCCGUCUCCCCUCUUGGGGCCUCAAAAGGAGGCCUGUGGUGACCGCGCGUUGUGACCGUCCAACGGGCGCUCUCCCCGUAGGCGACUCUGGCGCGACGCGUGGGAGAAAACGUUACAGUCUUUUUUCUUUCUUAAUUUCUUUUUUUUUUUUAAAUUGUGGGACAGGAGCAACGGCACAAUAACGUCAUUUGAGUGCGGUCUUCUGUGUGCCGCGCCUAGGCUGUCACCCAAAGCCCAUCAUUGAAACACAUGUAGUCCUUAAAUCCUUUGCUGGUACUCUUGGCUUUUGUCCCUGGCCUUGCAGUAGCCGCCCUGUCCUGCCUGGGUUUUCAUCUUUCCCUACUGCCUCUUUCUCCAAAAAUCCACGUUUCGUCUGUUUUCUAAUCUUGGCUUCCGUUUGAAAUCAACUGCAAGCCUUUAAGAAUGUCUAUGAGUUCCAUCCACCUCCAUAGAUUCGGAAGCAAUUUCGUGAUGUCUGGGCUUCGAGAUUUUUUGUGUGUGCGUUUAUUUUUAUUUUUUGUUUAGUAGCCUAGCGAUUCUCACGCACAAUUCACGGAGAAAUUCACUGUUAAAAGCGUCUAUUUUUGUGACCCUACCUAAACAUCGUUUUGCAGCUUCAUCUCUCGCAGGUGUAACAGAUGCUCAAGCUGAUCCUAAGGCCCCAAGGAGAGACUUUUCAGCAUAGCCUCUGACACAGUGGCAUUGGCAGCAGCCGCUCUGCUCUCUGAGGACCCAUUGGCAACCUCUGGAAGCACUUUCCUUGUCAGGAAAAGAACAGGAAAGCUUGAUUUCAAUCCAGCUGUCUACAUGGCCUUCCAUUGACUGGAUUUCACAAAAUAAUGUUCUGGGGGAUGAAUUUCAUGGCUCUUGGCCAAAAGGGACUGAGAAAGUAAGUCAGCUCAGAGUGAGAAAGUACAAAUUUGCCCAGCCAUUCAUUAAGCUGGAAUGAUACACAGAUAAAGCCAACUGAUUGGUAACAGAAAAUAACCUCUCUCCCAAGGGAUCAUUACAGCUAGAAAGUACCAUAAUAGAGCCAGCACCUUUGGGUAACUACUGCUCCCAGGCUGACUGAGAAACUUGUUUCUCUAAAGUACCUGUCAAAAUGGUAUCUUUCAGUGUAAAGUCUAUGGGAGUAGUUCCAAAGAAACGGCUCUAUGAUUAAGAGCUCUUGGCUGCCCUUACAGAGGACUGAAGUUUAGUCCCCAGCAUCCUGGUCUGUUACUUCAGCUCCAGGGGAUACCAAACCCUCCUCUGGCCUCCAUGGGCACACACAUGAUUUACAAAAAUGCAGAUAGUACCAUGGUAUGAUGGGAAUAAUGCCUUAGGCUGCCAGAUGAAGGGAAGGGAAGGGUGACUAUGGAAUUUAGGGGAAUGUUCGGAAGCCAGUGACGUUUAAAUGAGUCACUUUUGUGCUAGGCUCAAAGGAAGGCUGAGGACAAUCAGGUCAGGUGUGAAGUGCCCAAUACAGCUGUGGAUUCCCUGAGCUCUACAAGGAAUGUAUGUGAACUGGGCUCCCAGCUAAAACCACCAUGCCCAAGCUCUUUUUUCUCCACAGUUUUUAAAGAAGACGGACUGAAUCAAAGAGAGACUCCAAAUUCCAAACUGAACACAGUUUAGAGAGAUGCACUAUUCCAGAAGAAAAUCGAAAUUAUAACCUGACUUUUAUAGUUGCUUUGUUGAGGGUUGGGGGUUGAGAUGGUUUUCACUCUGUGGUCCAGGUUGAACUGAAGUUUAAUUGUGUGACCCAGGCCGGCCUUGCAUUUGUAUUACUUUUGCUUCUGCUUCCCAAGUCCUGAGAUUUCAGAUAUAAACCCCAUACUGGUCUUGUAAACUUGAGAUUUGUUUUGCUAUUUAUGAAGGGUAAAUAAAUUAUUUCUUCUGAA